GCACAAGCAGUGGAGUAUGUGGUUUAAUUCGAAGCAACGCGAAGAACCUUAUCAGGUCUUGACAUCGGAUGCAUACCUAAGAGAUUAGGGAAGUCCUUCGGGACAUCCAGACAGGUGGUGCAUGGUUGUCGUCAGCUCGUGUCGUGAGAUGUUGGGUUAAGUCCCGCAACGAGCGCAACCCUUAUUGCCAGUUACUACGCAAGAGGACUCCGGCGAGACUGCCGUUGACAAAACGGAGGAAG
rnacentral:rRNA from 1 species